rnacentral:rRNA from 1 species
UACGGGGGGAGCAAGCGUUGUUCGGAUUUACUGGGCGUAAAGGGCGCGUAGGCGGUCGUGACAAGUCACUUGUGAAAUCUCCGGGCUUAACUCGGAACGGUCAAGUGAUACUGUCGGACUAGAGUACAGAAGGGGCAACUGGAAUUCUCGGUGUGGCGGUGAAAUGCGCAGAUAUCAGGAGGAACACCGGUGGCGAAGGCGG